rnacentral:rRNA from 1 species
GACGAACGCUGGCGGCACGCUUAACACAUGCAAGUCGAACGGAAAGGCCUGCUUUCCCUUGUGGAUUGCGGGUACUCGAGUGGCGAACGGGUGAGUAACACGUGAGUGAUCUGCCCCCAACUUGGGUAUAAGCCUGGGAAACUGGGUCUAAUUCCCGAUAGGACUGCAGGGUGGUGCCUGUGGUGGAAAACGAUUUUCUAGUGGUUGGGGAUGAGCUCGCGGCCUAUCAGCUUGUUGGUGGGGUAAUGGCCUACCAAGGCGGCGACGGGUAGCCGGCCUGAGAGGGUGGACGGCCACAUUGGGACUGGGAUACGGCCCAGACUCCUACGGGAGGCAGGAGUGGGGAAUCUUGCACGGUGGGCGGAAGCCUGAUGCAGCGACGCCGGGUGGGGGAUGACGGCCUUCGGGUUGUAAACUCCUUUCGACCGCGAGGAAGCCACCUGGUUGGAGGGGUGGUGACGGUAGUGGUAGAAGAAGCACCGGCUAACUACGUG